rnacentral:lncRNA from 14 species
CAAUUCCAUUUUCCUCACUGAGGCUCUGGUAGGUGGUGGUGGGAGAGACUAAAGAGAAAUGCAGAAUACAGCUGUACCUGUCCUCCAUGUCUGUGGAGCAAACGGGCUAACAAGUAAGUUCUAGAAACAAACUGCCUGCAUUGAAGGCUGAAAUGUUCCACUUCCCAACUCCGUGGUUGGUAUAAGUCCUUUAGCCUUUGGCGCACAGCUUCCGUGUCUGCAAAGGCAAUCAUAAGACCUACUCAUAAGGUUGUCUUGGGAGUGGGUAAUGCACACAUAGUAAAUGCCAAACGCUUUACUGUGAACCAGACACCAUUCAACCAACAUUUGCUCUUAGGGGCCACAGUCCAAGUCCCAUGUCACCUUGGUGGUUCCUGUGUGUGAAAGCCCAAAGAAACAACCAGGCUUCUUGUUGUUCGUGAUUUCUUCCUUUGAUUCUUUUUUUUUUUUCUUUUCUUUUUUUCGGAGCUGGGGA